UUCAGAUGGACGACGAAACCCUUCCUCUUGCCUGGCCUGGCCUAACACGCGCACACCGAUCUGUCAAUCAGGCGGAUCCUCUCGCGAUCCUGUAGGUUCCGGGCAGCAGGCAGGAAACGAAACGUUACGCUCCAACCAAGCACAUCCAUCCGGAGCAGGGGGCAGGGCCACGCACACUUGUGCAGUGCAGGGUACCUUUUGUAGAAUCCUCUUCCAGCGAAGCAAAUCUUUGAAGAGAUCCUUCCACUGUCUUUACUAGCAAUAUCCUCCUAUUCCUUCCUUGGACUUUUCAUUUUCUUUGCACACACCAACAGCUCACCUACGACAGCCAGCAGCGGUUGUAGCAUAAUACUAUAUACUAGGAGUACUUUGCCGAUACGAUACGCACAAGCACGAACAGGAAUAAUAAUCUCCUUGCCGAUUUGAUUCCCCCCACAGCCAGCACAAGGAGACCAUGCAAUAAUACUGCCCGGGGCGUGACAGAAAUGAAUACACAAAUCAUGCUAUGGCAGAGCCCAACCAUCUGCGUUAUUGAUUAGCUAUCAAUCAAUCAUGGACAGACAGAUGAAGAGGAAUCAGCCAUGUGGGUUACCAAGAAAUGAGAAGUGGGCAGAAUUAGUAACUGCUAAUCCUGGAAAACUGGUGUGAAAAGCUCCGAUCAUGGAAAGGUUAACAGGGUUGCCCUGCCCUGAUGCCAAUUUUUCUUUUUUUUUUUCAAUCAACAGGUUGAGAGGUUUCUCUGAA